rnacentral:rRNA from 1 species
GACGAACGCUGGCGGCGUGCUUAACACAUGCAAGUCGAACGAUGAAGCCGGAGCUUGCUCUGGUGAAUUAGUGGCGAACGGGUGAGUAACACGUGAGUAACCUGCCCUUGACUCUGGGAUAACUGCUAGAAAUGGUAGCUAAUACCGGAUACGACCCUCGGAGGCAUCUCCAGGGGGUGGAAAGAAUUUCGGUCAAGGAUGGACUCGCGGCCUAUCAGCUAGUUGGUGAGGUAACGGCUCACCAAGGCGACGACGGGUAGCCGGCCUGAGAGGGUGACCGGCCACACUGGGACUGAGACACGGCCCAGACUCCUACGGGAGGCAGCAGUGGGGAAUAUUGCACAAUGGGCGCAAGCCUGAUGCAGCAACGCCGCGUGAGGGAUGACGGCCUUCGGGUUGUAAACCUCUUUUAGUAGGGAAGAAGCGAAGGUGACGGUACCUGCAGAAAAAGCACCGGCUAACUACGUGCCAGCCGCCGCCGUAAAAC